rnacentral:rRNA from 1 species
GAGUUUGAUCCUGGCUCAGGAUGAACGCUAGCGGCAGGCCUAACACAUGCAAGUCGAGGGGUAGGUCAUUUCGGUGACUGAGACCGGCGCACGGGUGCGUAACGCGUAUGCAAUCUGCCUUUUACUGAGGGAUAGCCCGAAGAAAUUUGGAUUAAUACCUCAUAGUAUUAUAGAGUGGCAUCACUUUAUGAUUAAAGAAUUUCGGUAAAAGAUGAGCAUGCGUCCCAUUAGCUAGUUGGUAAGGUAACGGCUUACCAAGGCAACGAUGGGUAGGGGUCCUGAGAGGGAGAUCCCCCACACUGGUACUGAGACACGGACCAGACUCCUACGGGAGGCAGCAGUGAGGAAUAUUGGUCAAUGGGCGCAAGCCUGAACCAGCCAUGCCGCGUGCAGGAUGACGGUCCUAUGGAUUGUAAACUGCUUUUGUACAGGAAGAAACAGUUCUACGUGUAGAACCUUGACGGUACUGUAAGAAUAAGGAUCGGCUAACUCCGUGCCAGCAGCCGCGGUAAUACGGAGGAUCCAAGCGUUAUCCGGAAUCAUUGGGUUUAAAGGGUCCGUAGGCGGUUUAGUAAGUCAGUGGUGAAAGCCCAUCGCUCAACGGUGGAACGGCCAUUGAUACUGCUAGACUUGAAUUACUGGGAAGUAACUAGAAUAUGUAGUGUAGCGGUGAAAUGCUUAGAUAUUACAUGGAAUACCAAUUGCGAAGGCAGGUUACUAUCAGUACAUUGACGCUGAGGGACGAAAGCGUGGGGAGCGAACAGGAUUAGAUACCCUGGUAGUCCACGCUGUAAACGAUG